rnacentral:rRNA from 1 species
CGGGGAAUUUUGGACAAUGGGCGAAAGCCUGAUCCAGCAAUGCCGCGUGUGUGAAGAAGGCCUUCGGGUUGUAAAGCACUUUUGUCCGGAAAGAAAUCCUUGGCUCUAAUACAGUCGGGGGAUGACGGUACCGGAAGAAUAAGCACCGGCUAACUACGUGCCAGCAGCCGCGGUAAUACGUAGGGUGCAAGCGUUAAUCGGAAUUACUGGGCGUAAAGCGUGCGCAGGCGGUUUGCUAAGACCGAUGUGAAAUCCCCGGGCUCAACCUGGGAACUGCAUUGGUGACUGGCAGGCUAGAGUAUGGCAGAGGGGGGUAGAAUUCCACGUGUAGCAGUGAAAUGCGUAGAGAUGUGGAGGAAUACCGAUGGCGAAGGCAGCCCCCUGGGCCAAUACUGACGCUCAUGCACGAAAGCGUGGGGAGCAAACAGGAUUAGAUACCCUGGUAGUCCACGCCCUAAACGAUGUCAACUAGUUGUUGGGGAUUCAUUUCCUUAGUAACGUAGCUAACGCGUGAAGUUGACCGCCUGGGGAGUACGGUCGCAAGAUUAAAACUCAAAGGAAUUGACGGGGUCAUAGCUG